rnacentral:rRNA from 1 species
UACGUCUUUUGCUAGCGUUAUCCGGAAUUACUGGGCGUAAAGGGUGCGUAGGUGGUUUUUUAAGUCAGAAGUGAAAGGCUACGGCUCAACCGUAGUAAGCUUUUGAAACUAGAGAACUUGAGUGCAGGAGAGGAGAGUAGAAUUCCUAGUGUAGCGGUGAAAUGCGUAGAUAUUAGGAGGAAUACCAGUAGCGAAGGCGGCUCUCUGGACUGUAACUGACACUGAGGCACGAAAUCGUGGGGAGCAAACAGG